CAGGCUCAGGACGAACGCUGGCGGCGUGCCUAAUACAUGCAAGUCGAACGCUUUUUCUUUCACCGGAGCUUGCUCCACCGAAAGAAAAAGAGUGGCGAACGGGUGAGUAACACGUGGGUAACCUGCCCAUCAGAAGGGGAUAACACUUGGAAACAGGUGCUAAUACCGUAUAACACUAUCUUCCGCAUGGAAGAAAGUUGAAAGGCGCUUUUGCGUCACUGAUGGAUGGACCCGCGGUGCAUUAGCUAGUUGGUGAGGUAACGGCUCACCAAGGCAACGAUGCAUAGCCGACCUGAGAGGGUGAUCGGCCACACUGGGACUGAGACACGGCCCAGACUCCUACGGGAGGCAGCAGUAGGGAAUCUUCGGCAAUGGACGAAAGUCUGACCGAGCAACGCCGCGUGAGUGAAGAAGGUUUUCGGAUCGUAAAACUCUGUUGUUAGAGAAGAACAAGGAUGAGAGUAAAAUGUUCAUCCCUUGACGGUAUCUAACCAGAAAGCCACGGCUAACUACGUGCCAGCAGCCGCGGUAAUACGUAGGUGGCAAGCGUUGUCCGGAUUUAUUGGGCGUAAAGCGAGCGCAGGCGGUUUCUUAAGUCUGAUGUGAAAGCCCCCGGCUCAACCGGGGAGGGUCAUUGGAAACUGGGAGACUUGAGUGCAGAAGAGGGAGAGUGGAAUUCCAUGUGUAGCGGUGAAAUGCGUAGAUAUAUGGAGGAACACCAGUGGCGAAGGCGGCUCUCUGGUCUGUAACUGACGCUGAGGCUCGAAAGCGUGGGGAGCGAACAGGAUUAGAUACCCUGGUAGUCCACGCCGUAAACGAUGAGUGCUAAGUGUUGGAGGGUUUCCGCCCUUCAGUGCUGCAGCAAACGCAUU
rnacentral:rRNA from 1 species